UACGUAGGGGGCAAGCGUUGUCCGGAAUCAUUGGGCGUAAAGCGAGCGUAGGCGGCCCGAUAAGUCUGCUGUAAAAGUCAACGGCUCAACCGUUGAAAGCCGGUGGAUACUGUCGGGCUAGAGUUCGGAAGAGGCAAGUGGAAUUCCUGGUGUAGCGGUGGAAUGCGCAGAUAUCAGGAGGAACACCUAUAGCGAAGGCAGCUUGCUGGGACGACACUGACGCUGAGGCGCGAAAGCGUGGGGAGCGAACAGG
rnacentral:rRNA from 1 species